rnacentral:rRNA from 1 species
GCGCGAGAAGUUUCCUGCUUGCAGGAAGCGGACAGCGGCGAAAGGGAGAGUAACGCGUGGGCACCUGCCCUCUGGACCGGAAUAGCUGUGGGAAACUACAGGUAAUGCCGGAUAAAGUCCCCGGACCAAAGGUGUUAGCCACCGGAGGAUGGGCCCGCGUCCUAUUAGCUUGUUGGUGAGGUAAGGGCUCACCAAGACUACGAUGGGUACCGGGCGUGAGAGCGUGGCCCGGCUCACUGGGACUGAGACACUGCCCAGACACCUACGGGUGGCUGCAGUCGAGAAUCUUCGGCAAUGGGCGAAAGCCUGACCGAGCGACGCCGCGUGCGGGAUGAAGGCCUUCGGGUUGUAAACCGCUGUCAGAGGGGAGGAAAUGCUAGGCAAUCCCUAGUUUGACCUAUCCUCAGAGGAAGUCCGGGCUAAGUUCGUGCCAGCAGCCGCGGUAAGACGAACCGGACAAACGUUAUUCGGAAUUAUUGGGCUUAAAGGGUGCGUAGGCGGCGUGGCAAGUUGGAUGUGAAAUCCCUCGGCUCAACCGAGGAACUGCGUCCAAAACUGCCA